GACGUAGGAUGCAAGCGUUGUCCGGAUUUAUUGGGCGUAAAGAGUUCGUAGGUGGUUUGUUAAGUCUGAUGUUAAAGACUGGGGCUCAACCUCGGAAAUGCAUUGGAUACUGGCAGACUUGAGUGUGGUAGAGGCAAUCGGAAUUCCAGGUGUAGCGGUGAAAUGCGUAGAUAUCUGGAGGAACACCGGUGGCGAAGGCGGCUGCCUGGCCUGUAACUGACGCUGAGACGCGAAAGCGUGGGGAGCGAACCGG
rnacentral:rRNA from 1 species